AUCACCCUGUACUUAAUUUUCUUACUAACUCCUCCUUUUAAACUCCCUUCACUCUCACAUACUGUUUCUUCUUUUUAUUUAACUACUAGAGGCCCGGUGCACAAAA